UUUUUUUUCUUUUUCUAUCUCUAGUUUGGUUUUUCUGGUAAAGUUUAUGCUACAGAGCCAACCAAACAAUUGGGAAGGCAGUUAAUGGAGGAAUUAUGUGCAUUUCUGUAUCGCUCACCCACACCAUCAAAAAAUUGGAGAGAUGAAUCAAUACUACAAUCGUUGCCCGAGUGUGCCGUUAAAAGCCUAACUGAUGUUAAUUCUUGGAAAUCUUUUUAUAAGC